GGGCAAUGAUGAUUGAUAUUUUUGGUCUCGUUCGUCGUAAUGGUAUCUUAAUGAUACCUUGACGACCAUUCUGAUAUAUCACCACCCAUAAACUGAGUUC